rnacentral:rRNA from 1 species
GAUCAUGGCUCGGGACGAACGCUGGCGGCGUGCUUAACACAUGCAAGUCGAACGAGAAUCUGUGGAAAGAGGAUUCGUCCAAUUGAAGCAGAGGACAGUGGCGGACGGGUGAGUAACGCGUGAGGAACCUGCCUUUCAGAGGGGGACAACAGUUGGAAACGACUGCUAAUACCGCAUGACAUAUAGAUGUCGCAUGGCAUUUAUAUCAAAGAUUUAUCGCUGAAAGA